GAGUUUGAUCGUGGCUCAGAACGAACGCUGGCGGCAGGCUUAACACAUGCAAGUCGAACGCGUGUAGCAAUACACGAGUGGCGCACGGGUGAGUAACGCGUGGAUAUCUGCCUUUUGGUUCGGAAUAACCCCGGGAAACUGGGGCUAAUACCGGAUGGUUCCUUCGGGAUAAAGAUUUAUCGCCAAAAGAUGAGUCCGCGUACGAUUAGCUAGUUGGUGAGGUAAUGGCUCACCAAGGCGACGAUCGUUAGCUGGUCUGAGAGGACGAUCAGCCACACUGGAACUGAGACACGGUCCAGACUCCUACGGGAGGCAGCAGUGGGGAAUUUUUCGCAAUGGGCGCAAGCCUGACGAAGCAACGCCGCGUGGAGGAUGAAGGUCUUCGGAUUGUAAACUCCUGUCGACCGGGACGAAUGCACCCGACCUAAUACGUCGGAGUGUUGACGGUACCGGUGGAGGAAGCCACGGCUAACUCUGUGCCAGCCGCCGCUGUAAG
rnacentral:rRNA from 1 species